GACAGUGUGGUGUAAUGGUUUGAAUGUUGGACUAUGACUCUGGAGACCAGAGUUUGAAUCCCUGCUCAGCCA
rnacentral:tRNA from 1 species